GCGGCGCAAAACGAGGUGUCGUUAUGAGUAGUUUGGCAGACGGUCAAUCAGUACUCAAGUCAACGUUCUCCCGUACAGAGUUCCGCAGCAGUAACCAAAUCAAACUCAAAAUGGCAAAGAUUGCUCUGAUCUUCCUCCUGUUCGCCCUGUUCGCCGUGGCCAUGUCUGCUAAUGUCCCUAGCCAGGAGCCAGUUGAUGUUGUGCAAAAGUUCGCUAACGAUGUCGCCAAGCUCUUUACGGAAAAUACCACUCCGGAGAAAAUUAAGGAAUACCAGGACAAGCUCGGCGAAUUUUGGAGUGCGGCUGUAGAGAAUGCUAAGAAGGUGUCUGCCGAAGCCAACAAGAAUAUCCAGGAAUUCCAGAGCAAAGCACAAUAAGACGUUGAUGGAUAGCAAUAUAUUUAAUAUGCUAAAAAUGUCUAUAAUAAAUUUGUAAAAUUCAAAAAAAUAGGUUAA